UCUGGUGAUAAUGGCAGAGAGGUCACACCUGUUCCCAUACCGAACACAGAAGUUAAGCUCUCUAGCGCCGAUGGUAGUUGGACUUACGUUCCGCGAGAGUAGGACGUUGCCGGGC
rnacentral:rRNA from 1 species